rnacentral:rRNA from 1 species
UGGCGGCCGUAGCGCGGUGGUCCCACCUGACCCCAUGCCGAACUCAGAAGUGAAACGCCGUAGCGCCGAUGGUAGUGUGGGUCUCCCAUGCGAGAGUAGGGAACUGCCAGGCA